CGUUUAAGUAAAGACUGCCUGAGAAAAAUGUGCUGUCCCGAUUCAGUAUCUGCGGUCAGAUGAGAUAGCUACUGGAGUCUCUGUAAGUUGGUUUAACAGAGUGGUACGGAUGGCGAGACCAAUGCCGUGAAUUAGUCAGGAGUUGGCUGGGAGACCUUUCCAAAAGAAGCUAUAGCCCUCGCCAACUUCGUUUCAUCCACAAGAAAGGGAUGCCCCGACGGGAGCGGAGGUCCAUCUGGGGGAAGUGGAACAGACAAUGUUUGGACCACCUUUUCUAGGUCCCUCCUCGUAUGACGUGAGCAUACGAUCCUGAAUAGGACUGCUCAGGAAGCUGCCAAAGGAGCCUGCUGUUGCUGUUCCAACGAUAAUCUGACCGGAGCCGCCUGCAUACAGAUCACAGACUAGAGACUUCCAGCUCCACACUGAGCCUGUCUCCGCAGGACUUAAAAAUACGGUAUGGUAGCAAUGAAAAGUCCCAUGCUCGGAUAUUUAAAGUGGAGGAAGUUUGCGCAAUCCUUAGUCCACUACCUUGGCCGCUGCGGCAUUAGUCAAGUGGCACGGGAGAACCCAAGAUGACUGGUGCACACAGUGGUUGCAGGGGUCUUCUAGCUCAUCCCAACUAAAGAGAAAAAAAGCUGCCUAAAGCCUGACCCCGAUGGCAUGAAGUUAAGACAAACAUUUCACAGCCGAAUCCUGUAAUGUAUCGUCUCUGGACAACGAACCCGUUGACUCACUACAGAGUUUGUCCGCCUUAUAUACACCAGUCGAAGCUGCUGCCCUGCGGUUAAGCCCAUAACCCCAGGCUUGAAGGGACACCACCUGCUUUGGCCACUGUUUUCAGGGUUCUCAGUUGAGCCUGCUCACCACGAGUAACACCCACGGUGAUACCUCAACCAUAGCCUUCUUUACUGGUGAUAUAGCCUCAAUAAGCAAUCCCCAACUUGGUGUUCACCCCCACACCACAAUGAGGUGCAGUUUGGGUUUUGAGGGGGAUAUAUAACGUACAAUCACCACAAGAUAUCUGGACAUGUCAACGUCAUUUCAAAACAAUGUUCCCACAAUAUUUUUA